rnacentral:rRNA from 1 species
UGGGGAAUUUUGCACAAUGGGGGAAACCCUGAUGCAGCGACGCCGCGUGAUUUAGAAGGCCUUCGGGUUGUAAAAAUCUUUUUUACGGGAUGAAAAUGACAGUACCGUAAGAAUAAGGUCCGGCUAAAUACGUGCCAGCAGCCGCGGUAAUACAUAUGGACCGAGCGUUGUCCGGAAUCAUUGGGCGUAAAGCGAGCGCAGGCGGUCAAUUAAGUCUGAUGUGAAAGCCCCCGGCUCAACCGGGGAGGGUCAUUGGAAACUGGUUGACUUGAGUGCAGAAGAGGAGAGUGGAAUUCCAUGUGUAGCGGUGAAAUGCGUAGAUAUAUGGAGGAACACCAGUGGCGAAGGCGACUCUCUGGUCUGUAACUGACGCUGAGGUUCGAAAGCGUGGGUAGCAAACAGG